rnacentral:rRNA from 1 species
UGCCUAACACAUGCAAGUCGAACGAAGGCUUCGGCCUUAGUGGCGCACGGGUGCGUAACGCGUGGGAAUCUGCCCUUGGGUUCGGAAUAACAGUUGGAAACGACUGCUAAUACCGGAUGAUGUCGCGAGACCAAAGAUUUAUCGCCCAGGGAUGAGCCCGCGUCGGAUUAGGUAGUUGGUGGGGUAAAGGCCCACCAAGCCGACGAUCCGUAGCUGGUCUGAGAGGAUGAUCAGCCACACUGGGACUGAGACACGGCCCAGACUCCUACGGGAGGCAGCAGUGGGGAAUAUUGGACAAUGGGCGAAAGCCUGAUCCAGCAAUGCCGCGUGAGUGAUGAAGGCCUUAGGGUUGUAAAGCUC